CAACCAUCAAGCCCCAGGCUUGUGUUGGAGCCCUGCGGCCGUCCGCAGCCUCCUAAAAUUAGUGGCGGGCUCGCUAUCACACCGAGUGCAGUAGUUUUCUCUUCGCUCUGGCAGUGUAGCGGGUUCCGGCCGUGAAACACCCCAUAUUCUAA
rnacentral:misc_RNA from 1 species